rnacentral:rRNA from 1 species
UACGUAGGGUGCAGGCGUUGUCCGGAAUUAUUGGGCGUAAAGAGCUCGUAGGCGGUUUGUCGCGUCUGCUGUGAAAACUGGGGGCUCAACCCCCAGCCUGCAGUGGGUACGGGCAGACUAGAGUGCGGUAGGGGAGAUUGGAAUUCCUGGUGUAGCGGUGAAAUGCGCAGAUAUCAGGAGGAACACCGGUGGCGAAGGCGGAUCUCUGGGCCUUACCUGACGCUGAGGCGCGAAAGCGUGGGGAGCGAACCGG